UGGUCCUUACUAUUGUGCAAGUAAGAUUAGUUGGAUUAGCCCACUUUUCUGUAGGUUAUAUAUUCACUUAUGCUGCUUUCUUAAUUGCCUCAAAUCGGA